rnacentral:rRNA from 1 species
UGUGGUGGCGAUAGCCUAAAGGAUACACCCGUUCCCAUGCCGAACACGGAAGUUAAGCUUUAGCACGCCGAUAGUAGUUGGGGGAUCGC